AUUGAACGCUGGCGGCAGGCCUAACACAUGCAAGUCGAACGGUAACAGGAAACAGCUUGCUGUUUCGCUGACGAGUGGCGGACGGGUGAGUAAUGUCUGGGAAACUGCCUGAUGGAGGGGGAUAACUACUGGAAACGGUAGCUAAUACCGCAUAACGUCGCAAGACCAAAGAGGGGGACCUUCGGGCCUCUUGCCAUCGGAUGUGCCCAGAUGGGAUUAGCUAGUAGGUGGGGUAACGGCUAACCUAGGCGACGAUCCCUAGCUGGUCUGAGAGGAUGACCAGCCACACUGGAACUGAGACACGGUCCAGACUCCUACGGGAGGCAGCAGUGGGGAAUAUUGCACAAUGGGCGCAAGCCUGAUGCAGCCAUGCCGCGUGUAUGAAGAAGGCCUUCGGGUUGUAAAGUACUUUCAGCGGGGAGGAAGGGAGUAAAGUUAAUACCUUGGCUCAUUGACGUUACCCGCAGAAGAAGCACCGGCUAACUCCGUG
rnacentral:rRNA from 1 species